rnacentral:rRNA from 1 species
UACAUCGGUGACAGGUGGUGCAUGGUUGUCGUCAGCUCGUGUCGUGAGAUGUUGGUUAAGUCCCGCAACGAGCGCAACCCCUAUUGUUAGUUGCCAUCAUUCAGUUGGGCACUCUAGCGAGACUGCCGGUAAUAAACCGGAGGAAGGUGGGGAUGACGUCAAAUCAUCAUGCCCCUUAUGACCUGGGCUACACACGUGCUACAAUGGUUGGUACAACGAGUUGCGAGUCGGUGACGGCGAGCUAAUCUCUUAAAGCCAAUCUCAGUUCGGAUUGUAGGCUGCAACUCGCCUACAUGAAGUCGGAAUCGCUAGUAAUCGCGGAUCAGCACGCCGCGGUGAAUACGUUCCCGGGCCUU